rnacentral:rRNA from 1 species
GAUGAACGCUGGCGGCGUGCUUAACACAUGCAAGUCGAACGGUGAACGAGGGAGCUUGCUCCCUCCGGAUCAGUGGCGAACGGGUGAGUAACACGUGAGCAAUCUGCCCUGGACUCUGGGAUAAGCGUUGGAAACGACGUCUAAUACCGGAUACGAGGCGUGGGGGCAUCCCCAACGCCUGGAAAGAACUUCGGUCCAGGAUGAGCUCGCGGCUUAUCAGCUAGUUGGUGAGGUAACGGCUCACCAAGGCGACGACGGGUAGCCGGCCGGAGAGGGUGACCGGCCACACUGGGACUGAGACACGGCCCAGACUCCUACGGGAGGCAGCAGUGGGGAAUAUUGCACAAUGGGCGCAAGCCUGAUGCAGCAACGCCGCGUGAGGGACGACGGCCUUCGGGUUGUAAACCUCUUUUAGCAGGGAAGAAGCGAAAGUGACGGUACCUGCAGAAAAAGCACCGGCUAACUACGUGCCAGCCGCCGCUGUAACAC